rnacentral:rRNA from 1 species
AUUGAACGCUGGCGGAAUGCUUUACACAUGCAAGUCGAACGGCAGCACGGGGGCAACCCUGGUGGCGAGUGGCGAACGGGUGAGUAAUACAUCGGAACGUGCCCAGUCGUGGGGGAUAAAGUAGCGAAAGUUACGCUAAUACCGCAUACGAUCUACGGAUGAAAGCGGGGGACCAGAAGGCCUCGCGCGAUUGGAGCGGCCGAUGGCAGAUUAGGUAGUUGGUGAGGUAAAGGCUCACCAAGCCGACGAUCUGUAGCUGGUCUGAGAGGACGACCAGCCACACUGGGACUGAGACACGGCCCAGACUCCUACGGGAGGCAGCAGUGGGGAAUUUUGGACAAUGGGCGCAAGCCUGAUCCAGCCAUUCCGCGUGCAGGACGAAGGCCUUCGGGUUGUAAACUGCUUUUGUACGGAACGAAAAGGCUCUGGUUAAUACCUGGGGCUCAUGACGGUACCGUAAGAAUAAGCACCGGCUAACUACGUGCCAGCCGCCGCAGUAA